UACGUAGGGGGCAAGCGUUGUCCGGAUUUAUUGGGCGUAAAGCGCUCGCAGGCGGCUCGAUGCGUCGUGCGUGAAACACCCCGGCUCAACUGGGGAGGGUCGUGCGAUACGGUCGGGCUGGAGGCCAGUAGGGGGAUGCGGAAUUCCGGGUGUAGUGGUGGAAUGCGUAGAGCUCCGGAAGAACACCAACGGCGAAGGCAAUGUCCUGGCUCGUAUCUGACGCUCAAGCACGAAAGCUAGGGGAGCGAACAGG
rnacentral:rRNA from 1 species